rnacentral:rRNA from 1 species
AAUUCGAUUAGAGUUUGAUCAUGGCUCAGGAUGAACGCUAGCGGCAGGCCUAACACAUGCAAGUCGAACGGUAACAGUUCCUUCGGGAAGCUGACGAGUGGCGCACGGGUGCGUAACGCGUAUGCAAUCUGCCUUGUACUGGAGUAUAGCCCAGGGAAACUUGGAUUAAUCCUCCAUAGUCUAUAUGAUUGGCAUCAUUUAUAUAGUAAAGGUUACGGUACAAGAUGAGCAUGCGUCCUAUUAGCUAGUAGGUGUGGUAACGGCACACCUAGGCUUCGAUAGGUAGGGGUCCUGAGAGGGAGAUCCCCCACACUGGUACUGAGACACGGACCAGACUCCUACGGGAGGCAGCAGUGAGGAAUAUUGGACAAUGGGCGAAAGCCUGAUCCAGCCAUGCCGCGUGCAGGAAGACGGCCCUAUGGGUUGUAAACUGCUUUUAUACGGGAAGAAUAAGGCCUACGUGUAGGCUGAUGACGGUACCGUAAGAAUAAGCACCGGCUAACUCCGUGCCAGCAGCCGCGGUAAUACGGAGGGUGCAAGCGUUAUCCGGAAUCAUUGGGUUUAAAGGGUCCGUAGGUGGACUAAUAAGUCAGUGGUGAAAGUCUGCAGCUCAACUGUAGAAUUGCCAUUGAUACUGUUAGUCUUGAAUUGUUAUGAAGUAGCUAGAAUAUGUAGUGUAGCGGUGAAAUGCAUAGAUAUUACAUAGAAUACCAAUUGCGAAGGCAGGCUACUAAUAAUUGAUUGACACUGAUGGACGAAAGCGUGGGGAGCGAACAGGAUUAGAUACCCUGGUAGUCCACGCCGUAAACGAUGGUUACUAGCUGUCCGGCUCGAUUGAGAGCUGGGUGGCCAAGCGAAAGUGAUAAGUAACCCACCUGGGGAGUACGUUCGCAAGAAUGAAACUCAAAGGAAUUGACGGGGGCCCGCACAAGCGGUGGAGCAUGUGGUUUAAUUCGAUGAUACGCGAGGAACCUUACCAGGGCUUAAAUGUAGUCUGACAGAUUUGGAAACAGAUUUUUCUUCGGACAGAUUACAAGGUGCUGCAUGGUUGUCGUCAGCUCGUGCCGUGAGGUGUCAGGUUAAGUCCUAUAACGAGCGCAACCCCUGUUGUUAGUUGCCAUCGAGUAAUGUCGGGAACUCUAACAAGACUGCCAGUGCAAACUGUGAGGAAGGUGGGGAUGACGUCAAAUCAUCACGGCCCUUACGUCCUGGGCCACACACGUGCUACAAUGGUAGGUACAGAGAGCAGCCACGUCGCAAGGCGGAGCGAAUCUAUAAAACCUAUCACAGUUCGGAUCGGGGUCUGCAACUCGACCCCGUGAAGCUGGAAUCGCUAGUAAUCGCAUAUCAGCCAUGAUGCGGUGAAUACGUUCCCGGGCCUUGUACACACCGCCCGUCAAGCCAUGGAAGCUGGGGGUACCUGAAGUCCGUCACCGCAAGGAGCGGCCUAGGGUAAAACCGGUAACUGGGGCUAAGUCGUAACAAGGUAAAUCACUAGUGAAUUCGCGGCCGCCUGCAGGUCGACCAUAUGGGAGAGCUCCCAACGCGUUGGAUGCAUAGCUUGAGUAUUCUAUA